rnacentral:rRNA from 1 species
CAGUCGCCACGGGAAUACGGAGGGUGCAAGCGUUAAUCGGAAUUACUGGGCGUAAAGCGCACGCAGGCGGUCUGACAAGUCAGAUGUGAAAUCCCCGGGCUUAACCUGGGAACUGCAUUUGAAACUGUCAGGCUGGAGUCUUGUAGAGGGGGGUGGAAUUCCAGGUGUAGCGGUGAAAUGCGUAGAGAUCUGGAGGAAUACCGGUGGCGAAGGCGGCACCCUGGACAAAGACUGACGCUCAGGUGCGAAAGCGUGGGGAGCAAACAGGAUUAGAUACCCCGGUAGUCCCUGUCUCUUAUAC